rnacentral:rRNA from 1 species
CCUACGGGAGGCAGCAGUGGGGAAUAUUGGGCAAUGGAGGAAACUCUGACCCAGCAACGCCGCGUGAAUGAUGAAGGUCUUCGGAUUGUAAAGUUCUUUUCUAAGGGAAGAAGAAAGUGACGGUACCUUAGGAAUAAGCCUCGGCUAACUACGUGCCAGCAGCCGCGGUAAUACGUAGGAGGCGAGCGUUAUCCGGAUUUAUUGGGUUUAAAGGGUGCGUAGGCGGAGUGUCAAGUCAGCGGUAAAAUUUCGGGGCUCAACCCCGUCGUGCCGUUGAAACUGACGCCCUUGAGUGAGUGAGAAGUAAGCGGAAUGCGUGGUGUAGCGGUGAAAUGCAUAGAUAUCACGCAGAACGCCGAUUGCGAAGGCAGCUUACCGGCGCUCAACUGACGCUGAGGCACGAAAGUGCGGGUAUCGAACAGGAUUAGAUACCCUGGUAGUC